rnacentral:rRNA from 1 species
AGAAACAGAUUCUUCGGAUGACGAUUCUGAAACGUUUAGUGGCGGAUGGGCGAGUAACACGUGAGGAACCUGCCUUUCACAGGGGGAAUAACACUGGGAAACCAGUGCUAAUACCGCAUAAUGUAUUAAAGUGGCAUCACAUUAAUACCAAAGAUUUUAUCGGUGAAAGAUGGCCUCGCGCCUGAUUAGCUAGUAGGUGAGGUAACGGCUCACCUAGGUGAUGAUCAGUAGCCGGACUGAGAGGUUGAUCGGCCGCAUUGGGACUGAGACACGGCCCAGACUCCUACGGGAGGCAGCAGUGGGGAAUAUUGGGCAAUGGGCGCAAGCCUGACCCAGCAACGCCGCGUGAAGGAAGACGGUCUUCGGAUUGUAAACUUCUUUAGACAGGGACGAAACAAAUGACGGUACCUGUAGAAUGAGCCACGGCUAACUACGUGCCAGCAGCCGCGGUAAUACGUAGGUGGCGAGCGUUAUCCGGAAUUACUGGGUGUAAAGGGCGUGUAGGCGGCACUGUAAGUCAGAUGUGAAAUCUCCCGGCUCAACCGGGAGCGUGCAUCUGAUACUGCAGUGCUUGAGUGAUAGAGGGGAAAGCGGAAUUCCUAGUGUAGCGGUAAAAUGCGUAGAUAUUAGGAGGAACACCAGUGGCGAAGGCGGCUUUCUGGCUAUUAACUGACGCUGAGGCGCGAAAGCGUGGG